UUCAUCUCUAUAAUUUACUCUAUGAUGUUUUCUUUUUGUUGUGUAAAAUUUUACUGGCUCUCAAUCAUCAAUGUAAAAGGUACAAGUUUUUCAUUUUUUUUCUUGAUUUUUACCAAGUGACAUACAUUCAUUAUCCUUUAUUAUCAUUAUUAUUAUCAAUUAUUCGUCGUUGUUCUGGCUACAAAUUAUAGCUUUCUUUUUUAACUUGAAAUACUAUUACUUUUAUACACCUUUACUGAAAUAGUGAAGUAAUUUGUUUGGUGUCACACCAUUUUGUAGCAUGAGGAAAAUCAGGUUUUCAUGGUCGACAAUUAUUGUUGAUGAAAGCUGAUUUUCGCUAUUCAUUGAUGUUGAUGUAACCACACAAACUCUCACCCACAUGGAAAAGCCAUGGAAAGAGAUGGAAUAACAGUAAUAUAU
rnacentral:lncRNA from 1 species